UACGGAGGGGGCAAGCGUUAUUCGGAUUUACUGGGCGUAAAGGGUGCGUAGGCGGCUGCGCAAGUCUGAUGUGAAAUCCUCACCGCUUAACGGGAAGAGGGCAUUGGAAACUGCGUAGCUCGAGUGUGGUAGAGGCAAGCGGAAUUCCUGGUGUAGCGGUGGAAUGUGUAGAUAUCAGGAAGAACACCCGUGGCGAAGGCGGCUUGCUGGGCCACUACUGACGCUGAGGCACGAAAGCGUCGGGACCAAACGGG
rnacentral:misc_RNA from 1 species